rnacentral:lncRNA from 1 species
UGAGAGACCACCAGUCCAGCCGCUUUGCCUUAAUCGUGAGAAGAUGGAGGCUGAGGGUGCCACAUAGAGAGAGACCAGGAUUCCGGGGGGCUUGGUCUAGUCCCUGCCCGCUUUCUUCCCACCAUUUCCCGGCAACCCGUUAACAACAGCCCCUGCCAUGCCCCCUUAUGCCAGGCUCUCUGGUCUUCAAGUUGCUGUGCUCCUGGCGAAUUCCCACUCGUCCUUGAGGCUCGCACGGGCUCUGGGGUACACCCCCACCCCAGGCUGCACAGAUGCCACACAGACAGUGGUCUGGGCUUAUUCUUUCCCGCCUCACCAGGCUGUGAGCUGUGCAGUGGCCUAGACUGGAUCUUUAGGACUGGGUCUCAGUGCUUGGCCGAGUCUGGCCCAUACCAAGUACAUGUUUAUGGAAUAAACGAUGAUGCCUUGUCCACAUCACAUAGCCAGUCUGCGGCAGGACUAGCCUAGACUCCAGAGUUCCCGAUUUCUGGGUCCCAAGCUCAUUCCUGCCUGAGUUUAGAUAUUUCACUCUCCUCUCCUGGUGCAGACGUCAGACCUGUACUCUGCAGGCAAAUGUUUAUAUGGACGGUCCCAGGCAGCCCGGAAGGGGAAGAAAUACCAGAGGAGCACACCCUGCUCAGGGCUGCCGCUCUUUCAAAGUCCAGGGAAUUGGGGGCUGAGACUGGACUCACCACUGAGCUCUUCAAUGCAUACAGGUAUGUGCAUGCAGUGGCCUUAGAUUCCUUUUCCUUUUUAUUAUGGAAAUUCACACACCACACACACACACAAGGAGAAAAUAAUACUGUGAACUCCAGCUUCAGCUCAUGGCCAGUCUUAUUUCUUCCACACAGCCCUCCUCCAUUCUUCUGAUCUCCUCUUAAUUAUUUUGAAGCAGAUCCCAGACAUAUAUCAUUUCGUUUGAAAAUAUUAUAGGAUUUUAUCGAAAAGAGAGAUCUCUCUCUCUCUUUUUUAUUAUUGAGGUAUAACUUAUAAACAGUGAAAUGCUUGAAGGACACUGAUCUGAUGGAUACAGAUCAAUGAGUUUUCACUUUUGUAUGUUCUUGUGUAUCUCCCCCAGAACAUUUCCUGUACUUCAAAAGGCUCCUGCUUCACAGGUAAGCCCUAUCUCAGAUCUUUUUUAACCACAGCUGGCUGAACUGUAUCCUUUCUGCUGCCAAUCUCAUGCUGUCACUUCAGCCUUCAAGGAGUCUCUGGGUCCUAAAGAAAGAGCCUUCAGAUCUGGACUUUAAUCCUGGUCCCGACACUUCCCCUCUCUGGGCCUCUUUUUUUUUUUUUUUUUUUUUUGUAUUUGCCAGUCUACUGCUGGUUUGCUUACAGAUCUGUCCUCCCCUCUUCCUCUGCUGUUUUGUAUCACUGCUGGGAACUACAUUUCCCAGACUCCUUUUUCCUCGGGCUUCUGGGUAGUUUCAGCCAAUAGGAAGACAGGUGAGUGAAGGACAGGUAGGUGGGAGGAGGAAAGAAGCCAGGCUAUUUCUCUGUCUCUCUUUGCUUUUCGGACGUCGGAUAUCACCUGUGUUUGCCUGUGUUUCUUCCUUCCCUCCUUUCAUAAUCCCAUCUCCUGUCAGGCAGUCCCCACUAUUUACUUCCUGCCAAAUAACUCAGGAGGCCUCUGGGUCUAUGAUGCUUAAUUACCCUGCUGUCCUUCCAGCCCUAGAGAUGUAGCUGCUUCCUGCUUUGCUGUUUUCUGGGUUGCCUCGCUGUCCCCCGUUGGCUUCUCAUCUCUUUCAUCACCCAUGUACCAAUUUCUUGGGUUAACUUUCUUCCAUUUGGAAGACUUAAGAGUGUUUGCUGUUUCUAAGCUGGACCACAAUUGAUAAGUCUUAGCAAUAAAUGGUUAUUAUGCCUACCCAACCUUCUCCAGGAGGGUGAAGGAAACUCACAGGGGGAUCCAUGAAUUCUUUGUGGGCAGGGCGUUGUCUUGGUUUCUUUUUCUUUGUGUUCUUUGCCAGCUUCCUUGAAGCUCAUUUCCAUUGGGCAGCACCAGGGCUGGACUGAGUACCCCACAGAUUCCCAGAAUGUUUGGCCUUCUUCCGAGAGGACUGCUGAGAGAUCUUCCUUCCCAGAGGUCCAUGAAGAAUCCAAAAAGGGUGCCUGGUGGGAAUGGAUUCUUCUGGAUACUCGUUCCCACACAGUUCUUAGCCAACUGGUGCUCUCAGAAAGGGUCUGGUAAAUACGGAGAGAUGUGUCAUGGGUGAGGGGGUCAUCCUUUUCCGGAGACUUUGCAUUUUCAUUGGGGACCAUCCCUUUAAAUAAACCCAAAGAAUUAUCCAGAUGUCAGUUGUGCUGAGGUGGAGAAAUCCUGCCUUGACCCAAAGGAAUAAACUUCUAAUGGUGAACUUCUAAGCCUCCUGCCAGGUGACUAGAGUAGGAGUGGUAUGGAGGAAUUUUCUGGUCAUUCCCACCAUAUAAGUGCAGAUAGAAAGCCCACUGUUUUCCACAGUGGGCAGCCCGGUGUUGAAAGGCUCAUUAAUUCCAAGUAGUAAAAAUAAAGAGCUGCAUUUAAUUGAGUGACUCAUUUUUUACCCUAGAAAUGGAAAAAAUGAAGGAAAUUCAGGCAAAUUAGUAGAUGACAAAUUAAUGAGUUAUCAGAGGAAAUUAGGAUGUUCAAUGGAGAUGCUUUCUCAUAGCACAUCACUCUCUGCCGAAGAUAAAUCUUGAGUCUUAAGAUGCUCAUUCUGCCAUCUUCUGCAGAUUGGGUCAACAAAUAGUGACCACUAGACAGUGGGACGACCAAGAUGAAUAAGCCUAGAGCUUGUUCUCAGAGAACUCAUAGUAUGACCUAUGUAUACGCACACAUGCACAUACUAGGCUAGUAAUCAUAUACAGUGGUAAGUGCGGCCAUAGAUUCUCAACAAGACUCUCUCUCUCUGGCAGUGUGGAAGAGAAAGUGAUUAUUUCCAUCAUCUUCUGUUCCCCAGAGAGCAAGAGGCAGUAAGCCCCUUUGAACUCAUGACCCUCAUCCCAUCGCAGACUCCCUAUUUCACUUCUCUCCCUGUAGCCUUUGCACAUUUAUGGCCACAUAGGGUUAGGGCAUGGCUAGUGCCAGGAGGGAAGGAACAGCUCCGGUCUGGGAGAGCAUUUUCCAAUGCUGGGGAAGCUUCCAAAACAAGGACCACAGGGCCGUGGGACCCCACAGAGCAAGAGUCCACUUCUCUGGAAGUCAGGGGAGCAGCACUGAACAUGGAAAGGAGAAACUCAGCUCUCCAUCUGGCCCCACUCCUAACUCCUCACUCCUCUGGGCCUCAGUUCUUUCUUGUGUUAAGCAAGGGUUAAUGCACAGUCAACUGGAAAGGGCUUUUGGGACCAUCUGGGACCCUCACUCUCCCUUCCCCCUGCCAUUUCACUUUUCAGAUCAGAACGCAGGAGCCCAGAGAGGUAUAGUGCCUUUUCCAAAGUCACAUAGUUUAAAGGCAAAAAUGGAAGUCACAGAAUACCUAUAAUAUGGUCCCGUUUAUGAAAAAAAGUAUAAAUGUAAAGAAAUGCAUAUAAUUUUAUAAAAGCACACAAAAGAUACAGAUGGAUAUACCGAUUUCAACAGCCCUCCUUAGCCUGAGGGGUGGGUAGGGAAUGGGACAAAGGGAAGCUUUUGCUCUUCUGUAUAUUUCUGUCUUGUUGGAAAGUCACAUUGUGGCAAAAAUGUAUUUGGGCAUUAUUUCUGCACUUUCAAAGAUAACACUUAAAAUGGAGCCGUGACAGAAGUGCAGAUUUCUGUGUUUCUCACAACAAACUUGCUCUGGUCCAUUCCAGAUCUAGAACGACGCCUUCCCUGAGCAUGGGCUGCCCCCCACCCACUGCCCCGGUACACUGACAGGCACUUCUGGGGACGCCACGUCCACGUGCUCCGGCUCAGCCCAGACCCGUCCUUGUGAUUCUUCUCACAGAGCCCUUGAGAUGAGAACUAUUUGCUGUGCUGCUUUGAGCCCGUGGUUGGAUUUCAGACACCAGCUAGCAAACAGAAAAGGCAGGGAGGUGCCUCUCCUAACCUUUGAGAUCAAACAGGCAGGGUGCUGUGUACUCCAUUUGUUUAAGAACCUGGCUCCGGGGAGAAUAGGGGUUCUAAGGCUGUCUGGGUCCUGUGGGAAUGUGGGGUCAGUGUAGAGAGCUUUCCACAGAGCUGGGGAGAUAAGCCAGGACCCAGAUUGCUGAUGAGCCCAUGAACUCUGCGUUUGAAGCUCCUAGGUUUCAAAACCAGGUACAGGGGGGCUCCAGUUCCCCAUGAGUCUGCGGCUGGUUUGUCAUGGGAAAUAAAUGGCAAACGUCCUAAGUAGACAUCCCUUCAGGAAAAGAAUUCUGAUUUUGUGUUUCUCUCGGCUGCUGUUUCGUUCUGUGCCCUCAGAAAACUGGCUUCUCUUUAUGGAGGGUCGGUUUCUUCAUCUCGAAAAUGAAGGAAAAACCAGCCUUUCCCUUCCCAGGAGGGUGUUCCCAG